rnacentral:rRNA from 1 species
UACAGAGGGUGCAAGCGUUAAUCGGAAUUACUGGGCGUAAAGCGUGCGCAGGCGGUGAUGUAAGACAGUUGUGAAAUCCCCGGGCUCAACCUGGGAACUGCAUCUGUGACUGCAUCGCUGGAGUACGGCAGAGGGGGAUGGAAUUCCGCGUGUAGCAGUGAAAUGCGUAGAUAUGCGGAGGAACACCGAUGGCGAAGGCAAUCCCCUGGGCCUGUACUGACGCUCAUGCACGAAAGCGUGGGGAGCAAACAGG